UACGUAGGGCGCAAGCGUUGUCCGGAAUUAUUGGGCGUAAAGAGCUCGUAGGCGGUCUGUCGCGUCGGCUGUGAAAUCCCGAGGCUCAACCUCGGGUCUGCAGUCGAUACGGGCAAACUAGAGUAUUGCAGGGGAGACUGGAAUUCCUGGUGUAGCGGUGAAAUGCGCAGAUAUCAGGAGGAACACCGGUGGCGAAGGCAGGUCUCUGGGCUGACACUGACGCUCAUGCACGAAAGCGUGGGGAGCAAACAGG
rnacentral:rRNA from 1 species